AAUAGCCUAACGGCUGAACCAGCAAUUUGGGGGAAUGUAUAGUAAUCUAAUUGUUAUUUAAUUUAUUAAAUUCAAGAUCGACUAUGUCGAAUAAAAUUCUAGAUAGAACAAUGAUAAUGACAAUUUUCUAUUUAUAUGUCUUGACUAAAUCACGUGCCAGCAGUCGCGGUAAUACGUGGAAGACUAGUGUUAUUCAUCUUUAUUAGGUUUAAAGGGUACCUAGACGGUAUGCUUAGCCGAAUAAAAAGGUACAAGUAUACUAGAGUUUUAUAUGAGAAGGAAAGAACUUUUGGAGUAGAGAUAAAAUUCUGUGAUAACAAAAGGACUGUUAAAGGCGAAGGCAACCUUUUAUGUAAAAACUGACGUUGAGGGACGAAGGCUUGGGUAGCGAUUAGGAUUAGAUACCCUAGUAGUCCAGGCAGAAAAUUAUGAAUGUCAUAGACUUGGUUUAUUCCAUUUCUAUAAAUGAAAGUGUAAGCAUUCCACCUCAAGAGUAAUGUGGCAACGCAGGAACUGAAAUCAUUAGACCGUUUCUGAAACCAGUAGUGAAGUAUGUUAUUUAAUUCGAUGAUCCGCGAAAAACCUUACCACAAUUUGAAUAUUAUACAAGCGUUGCACGGCUGUCUUCAGUUAAUGUCGUGAGAUUCUGGUUAGUUCCAUUAAUUAACGUAAACCCUCGCUUUAUUUAAUCAAGCUUAUAUUUAUAACUUUAUUAGCGUUAUAAAGCAGUUUUUCCUAAACCUUUGGGAAUAAUAAAAGGGACUAAGACAAGUCAUCAUGGCCUUAAUAUUGUGGGCUAUAGACGUGCCACAUAAGCCUAUACAAAGGGAUGCAAUAUUGUAAAAUGGAGCUAAUCCUCAAAAAAGGAUAUAAAAU
rnacentral:rRNA from 1 species